AUUGAACGCUGGCGGCAGGCCUAACACAUGCAAGUCGAGCGGAUGAGAGGAGCUUGCUCUUCGAUUCAGCGGCGGACGGGUGAGUAAUGCCUAGGAAUCUGCCUAGUAGUGGGGGACAACGUUUCGAAAGGAACGCUAAUACCGCAUACGUCCUACGGGAGAAAGUGGGGGAUCUUCGGACCUCACGCUAUUAGAUGAGCCUAGGUCGGAUUAGCUAGUUGGUAGGGUAACGGCCUACCAAGGCGACGAUCCGUAACUGGUCUGAGAGGAUGAUCAGUCACACUGGAACUGAGACACGGUCCAGACUCCUACGGGAGGCAGCAGUGGGGAAUAUUGGACAAUGGGCGAAAGCCUGAUCCAGCCAUGCCGCGUGUGUGAAGAAGGCCCUCGGGUCGUAAAGCACUUUAAGUUGGGAGGAAGGGCUUACAGCGAAUACCUGUGAGUUUUGACGUUACCGACAGAAUAAGCACCGGCUAACUUCGUGCCAGCAGCCGGCCGUAA
rnacentral:rRNA from 1 species